GGAAUCAACGCUGGCGGCGUGCCUAACACAUGCAAGUCGAACGCGAAAGUCCCGAAAGGGAUAAGUAGAGUGGCAAACGGGUGAGUAACACGUGGGUGACCUGCCUUCGAGCGGGGGAUAACGUCCCGAAAGGGACGCUAAUACCGCAUAACAUCCUGCCUUUUAAGAGGUGGAGAUCAAAGCCGGGGACCGCAAGGCCUGGCACUUGAAGAGGGGCCCGCGUCUGAUUAGCUAGUUGGUGGGGUAAUGGCCUACCAAGGCAACGAUCAGUA
rnacentral:rRNA from 1 species